UACAGAGGUGCCGAGCGUUAGGCGGAAUCACUGGGCUUAAAGCGUGUGUAGGCGGAUGCCUAAGUACCUUGUGAAAUCCCACGGCUUAACCGUGGAACUGCUCGGUAUACUGGGUGUCUUGAGCCACUUAGGGGCUACCGGAACAAAUGGUGGAGCGGUGAAAUGCGUAGAUAUCAUCUGGAACGCCAAUGGUGCAGACAGGCUGCUGGGGUUGUGCCGACGCUGAGACACGAAAGCCAGGGGAGCAAACGGGAU
rnacentral:rRNA from 1 species